GCACUUCUGAAGAGCCCUACAAUAAGACGAAACGGCCGUCCAGUGC
rnacentral:hammerhead_ribozyme from 1 species